GACGAACGCUGGCGGCGUGCUUAACACAUGCAAGUCGAACGGAAAGGCCCUGCUUUUGUGGGGUGCUCGAGUGGCGAACGGGUGAGUAACACGUGAGUAACCUGCCCUUUACUUUGGGAUAACUUCAGGAAACUGGGGCUAAUACCGGAUAGGAGCUCCUGCUGCAUGGUGGGGGUUGGAAAGUUUCGGCGGUUGGGGAUGGACUCGCGGCUUAUCAGCUUGUUGGUGGGGUAGUGGCUUACCAAGGCUUUGACGGGUAGCCGGCCUGAGAGGGUGACCGGCAAAAUUGGGACUGAGAUACGGCCCAGACUACUACGGGAGGCAGCAGUGGGGAAUAUUGCACAAUGGGCGGAAGCCUGAUGCAGCAACGCCGCGUGCGGGAUGACGGCCUUCGGGUUGUAAACCGCUUUCGCCUGUGACGAAGCGUGAGUGACGGUAAUGGGUAAAGAAGCACCGGCUAACUACGUG
rnacentral:rRNA from 1 species